UAAUUAAUCUAUCAUUUCAACUGUUUAACUUAUCAGUUUUAUUCGAAAACGUCGAUUUAUUAAUCCAAUAAUGUAUUACAAAAUUUUUAUCAUGAUGUAUCUAACUACUAGUUUUACAAACGCAUUUCUUUUCAAAUUUCCACCUUUGGACGAGCAGAAGACGAAAUUGAAUAAUCAAGCAUGGCUUGAUUCGACCAAAUAUUUUAAUAGUUAUAAAGAUAAUAAUAAUGGUAUCAGUUUAGAUAGUUUUAAAAACUUAUUUAAAUUAUUUUAUCCGGUACACAAAUUGGAUAAUAGUAGAAUCGAAACAAUAUUCAAGGAUGAAGUUCAAAAUAGAGACGAAUUUAUGAAUUUGGAGCAAUUUAUAAAAGUCAUGACAAAAAUUGUAAUAAUAACUGAAGAAAAAGUAAAUACUACUUAUGAUGAAUAUCACGACCGAGAUGGAAAGAUGACUAAAAAAGAAUUUGAGGAAUUUGUAAAAGGAUUUGAUUACAAUUUAACGGAUGAUAUGGUUACUAAUAUAAUAACUGAAAAUUGUACAGACGCACAAAAUAUCAGCUUUCCAGAAUUCAGAAUUAUGUCUGUGGAAUUAUAUUACAUAAUACUUGAUAAACUAGGAUUAAGGAUAUUGGAAGAAGAAAUGGCAGUACUUAGAAUAUAAGCUCCGAGGCGAAGCUGAUAAGACUAUUUCCUUAUAUAUGGGGGGUGUUCAAAUCUGAAAAAUGCAUAAAAAGAGGAGCUCCAUUCUUAUGCGUUCCCGCUCAAUUCAAGUACUAAAUUUUAAUCAAUAAAAUUAAAUGCAUCGAAUAUACUAUACUUACAAAAAUGAAAAAUAUGGUAAUUUUAAUAUUUUCUCAUGGUAUUAAUCUGAAUAUAUAUAGUGUAAAAAUAAAUUAAAUAACUUCACUUAAUUGUAAUUAACUAUGAUUGAUCAUAAUUAAACGCAUACAAUAUUUUCUUUAUUUAAUA